CUGUCACACGAGCACGUAUUUGCGGCAAUGGGACGUGAGCAUUGAACUCACUGAUUCACAGUACGAGCAUCUAAACGUUAGACCUGUAGGAUAUCUAAAAGGUUUUCGAAGUUCCUUUCAAAGCGUUGAGAAAGUCAAAACACAUUACAGAGAAGUCAGGUUUUGAAAUUUCCUUUUGUUGAAAUAUGUCACGACGAAGAAACAGAAAGGUGCUGAUAAGAAUAGAUGAAAAAACUGUUGUUGUUUAUUCAUCAGCUGGAUAUGGAAUCUUGUAUAAAAACGGCAAGAGGGUUAGUUGUAUAAUCACAUCGAAGUUCAUUCUCUUCUUCUUCAUCUUCGCUGUAAUAUGGGUGACAGUGGGAUACAUAUGUUUGGCGUUGAAUUUUGCAGUGAACAUGCCUUCAGACAGAGAUGGAAAUCCUAUGUUAAUAAAUGGAAUAAUUGCACUGAUGGUUGGCUAUAUCUUCGCUGCUAUAGGGACUGCGAUAUUUUACAUUACGUGGAGAAAGUCGAAACGUGUAGGUCAACAGCAGUAUUCGAGUGAAGCUCCAUCUACCGUCGAUUUUUCUCUAUUGGAUGCAGUCCGACUAACACAGACCUUGUCCCACAGAUAAAUAAGAAAUUGUCUCAUAUCAUAUUAGUUUUAUUUUCAGGACUAUGAACUUUACCUUAUCUUAUCUGGUAUCCAUCUGACUUUCCUUAGAAUUAUUUUUAGCAGCACUAUUAAACACCAGAUAGCAAUAGUACUUUCUUUACUGCUAACAACUUUUUCGAAGUAAUCGUGAUUACAACAGGAAUUAA